AGUGAUUCUCCUGCCUCAGCCUCCCGAGUAGCUGGGAUUACAGGGACAGUUUUGAUACCAUGAUAACUACUUAAGAGUUCUAAUGAGUUCUCCAAAAUCAUCCCUGGUGAUCAUCUCCACAUAUGAAGUAUCACGUGUGAAAGAGAUGAACCAUCCAAUCUCCUGCCUGGAGUAUUGAAGCCUGGCUACUGUGACUGUGGGGAAGGGAUUAAUGGUCUCAGCAUUCAGUCACAUUUCAAAGGCCAGAUCUUUCCCAGGGCUUAAGCUGUUCCUUGGAUACUUUUGGUAAAUCCAAAUGUGAGCGGCAUUCUAGAAUCCAUGGAGGCCCCCAAAGGAAGACAAGCUUUCAUCCUUGCCUGCUGAUUAAGAAUACACAUUUCUGCACUCUGUUGGGCCCCUGUGGAAGAACUCUGAACCCUUCUCCAGAACAAGGGCUCUUGGCCAAUUCCUGGUAUUUUUAGAAAAUCAGCCUGUAAAGACUUUGCCCCCGUGGCUACCAGAGCACUGUAGUGGUGAUUAUUUUAAAAGCCAUAGAGAAGUUUGCAUGGUAGUGCAAUAAGAUGACCUAAAUGAUUCACCACUGCAAAAUUUUGAAAUGUGUCAUUGGGUUUUCAUUCCAAGCAGCAAUGGAAAAUCACUGGGACAGGGUCUCACUGUGUCAUCCAGGCUGGAAUGCAGUGGCGCAAUCAUACCUCACUACAGUUUCAACCUCCUGAUUUCAAGCCAUCCUCCAGCUUCAGCUUCCUGGGUAGCUAGGACUACAGUGGAGUCUCUGGCCAGAAUUAAUUAGAACAGCACUUUUGUGGCUUGUACAUGGACACUCAUCUUCAUUUCUUGGACUCUGAGCCUCAAUUUCUCAUUCAAGUGGAGAAAGCAUAUAACAAGAAUAUGUAAUGGACAUCCUACCUACAAUUUUCAGUAUAACAGUUACAGCAAGUAAAGUGAAUCAGGAUAAGGUAAGCUUCUUAUCUAGAAACUGUGAG